GAAUGGGUGGUUUAGUGUGUGAAUGAGUGGCUGUGAACGAGUGGGUGAGUUUGUGAAUGAAUGGGUGAGAUCGUGUGUGAAUGGGUUAGUGUGUGAAUGAGUGGGUGGGUUAGUGUGUGAAUGAAUGGGUAGAUUAGUGUGUGAAUGAGUGGGUGGGUUAGUGUGUGAAUGAGUGAGUUAGUGAAUGGGUGGGUUAGUGUGUGAGUGAGUGCAUGAAUGGGUGAGUUAGUGUGUGAACGAGUGGGCGAGUUAGUAUGUGAAUGAGUGGGUUAGUGUGUGAAGGAGUGGAUGUGUGAACAAGUGGGUGAGUUAAGUGUGUG
rnacentral:lncRNA from 1 species